rnacentral:lncRNA from 1 species
UACCUUACAGCUCUGCAGGUUAGCAGUCCAGCACACGCCUCACUGGGCUAAAAUCAAGGUGUCAGCAGGGCUGCCUUCCUUUCUGGAGGCUCUAAGGGGAAAAGAAAAAUCUGUUCCGUUGCCUUGUAUAGCUUCUAGAAGCCACCCACAUUUCUUGUUCUGUGGCCUGCCGCCACCAUCUUCGAAGCCCACGACACUGCAUCUCUCUGGCUGGGCUUCUGCAGCCAUGACUCCCUCUGCCGCCAGCUGGGAAAGCUUCUCUACAGCUAAGGACUCGUGAUUAUACGGGGCCCACCUGGAUGAUCCAGGCUCUUCUUCCCCAUCUCAAAGUCCUUUGCUGUAAUCACAGUUCCUUGUUCCGUGUAAGCUCUGGCAUGCUGAUAUGCUGGAGCUAGGUCAGCCAUCUUCGCUGCAGGUGGAAUCUUCCUUUUAAGAAUAAGAGAUCAAAGAACAGAGGGAGCCUGAAUUACUGAUGCUCAUGGAGAUAUACCACCAGUUCUGAACUGCCUGAUUUACUCUUGCCACCGAGACAGUGACUUGUGCAAGAGCAGACCUUGGAAACCAAAUGAAUGAUAAAAGAGAAAAGCUGCUUUUAGAAACUCUCUCAAAUAUUAGGG